UACGUAGGCAGCGAGCGUUGUUCGGAGUUACUGGGCGUAAAGGGUGUGUAGGCGGUUGCUUAAGUUGGUGUGAAAUCUCCCGGCUCAACCGGGAGGGUGCGCCGAAUACUGAGUGACUAGAGUGCGGGAGAGGAAAGUGGAAUUCCUGGUGUAGCGGUGAAAUGCGUAGAUAUCAGGAGGAACACCGGUGGUGUAGACGGCUUUCUGGACCGUAACUGACGCUGAGACACGAAAGCGUGGGUAGCAAACAGG
rnacentral:rRNA from 1 species